CCCGAAGAUAUGGAUCAUCCAAGGCACAUUAGCAUGGCAUACUCCUCCUGUUUGAAUCGGAGUUUGAAACCAAACAAACUUCUCCUCAGGAGGAUAGAUGGGGCGAUUCAGAGAUCGGAAGAGCGUGGU